rnacentral:rRNA from 1 species
GAGGACCGGAGUGGACGCAUCACUGGUGUUCGGGUUGUCAUGCCAAUGGCACUGCCCGGUAGCUAAAUGCGGAAGAGAUAAGUGCUGAAAGCAUCUAAGCACGAAACUUGCCCCGAGAUGAGUUCUCCCUGACCCUUUAAGGGUCCUGAAGGAACGUUGAAGACGACGACGUUGAUAGGCCGGGUGUGUAAGCGCAGCGAUGCGUUGAGCUAACCGGUACUAAUGAACCGUGAGGCUUAACCUUACAACGCCGAAG